GUGCCCCCUAGCGUAUGAAGUUUUUGCUUCAAAUAAGAUUCAAUUUAGAGGAGCCAUCCGACACGGAAACUGCUUCAGUCUCUUCUCCCGCAUCGACCAAACUAACGAGCACCAUUUUAAACUGAUGCCUGUUUGUUUAAAUUCUGUUUUACAUGACUUGGACGGCAAAGCUUUGAGAGUUGCCAAAGUUGGAUUUACUUUUUUUGCCACUUCAGGCAGUCCCAGCGGUGGUAUUUAGACCAAUGAUGUCUUUAUUCUAAAACAAAUGAGCCGAUUAUAUUUUGUCUGCAUGAUUAUUUUGUCGGUUUUAUUGACAGAACCCGUGAAAACGGAGUCUGUAAAUAACAAACUGCGAAAGGUAUCCAUUUACCGAGGAUCCAGCUUCAAAUGGAUUCUGCUGCUGACGGCAAGACACUCCUUUCACACUGAGAGAACCGGGAUGAAAGUUGACUUUAAUCUCAUCUCUGCCUUCACCAAGUCCUUCAUUCAGAUAGGGAGAUACUGACCCGGAGGUCUCCAAGUUCCCGGCCUAAUUAACCCUCCAGACCCGCGCAGAAGCCAACGUUAACCAUGCUAAUCAACUUCAAGAGUCUGAUUGAAUUAGAUGACUGAAAUCACGACAGAAACUAAAUUGCCCCCACUUAAAAAAAAACACCAUGAAAAGAUUUUUUUUUUUUAACAAUUGACUCAAUUUAAAUUAACAUAAAAUGUUAAAAUAGACGUAUUAAUUUCAGAUAACUAAAGAGAUGAUUUAAUAGUUAACCGUCAACAGGUAUUAGCUGUUUCUCAUAUAUAAUUAAACAGCAGACUUCCAAUAUUCAAAACUGUCUUUUACAGUCACAAAUUAUUUUGUCUUGAUUGAUAAAGAUCCCUUAAUUGAUGGUGGUUGUGCCCUACAUGUCACAGCAGUUGUAUCUGCUGCAUUGCAUAAUACCAAUCAGUACCCUAAAGGCUUUAUUCCUCCCCUCUUUAUAGCAGCGAUUCAUUGUAAUGUUGCUUAGAUGCAAAGAUGAAAAAAACUAGACCAAUUAGCUAUUCAAAUGAGUGCUUAAACGUGUGGCUUCAUUUAGGUAAAGAAUAUUUGCUGACAUCAUUUAACAUUCAAAAAUUUACUUUAGACUCACAUAGCAAGAUAUUCAGGAAGAAAGAAAAGUAACAUGAGCAAAACAUUUUCAUAUUUAUGAGGAUAUUUAACAUUUAGAGUUUAAGGAUCUAAAAUAUUUGGGAAUUGUGUGGGCAUAAAAUAAUUGAUGAUCUCAAAAGUAGUGAUAUUCAAAAAAGGUUUUGACAAACGGGUUUAAUCCUGAUAUGCUGUGUGCGUAGUCUUAUAGCAUAUAGUUUGUUUUGAUAUGACUUUCUUUGUGGUUGAAUAAGUGACUGUUAAGCAUGCUUUUUAUAGACUUUAAUGACACAACUAUGUCUUGUCUUUGAGGAUUCUUAAUAACACAUAAUUACAGAAAAUUGCAUUCCAUUAUCACAAUUAACAUCCCCUUACUGUAAAUAUGGUGUGUGUUUGUGUGUGUGUGUGUGUGUGUGUGUGUGUAAGCAAUUUGUUUGUAUGCACAAUUAGGAUAUAUAGAGGCAUGUAUAGUGUGAGAAAAAGGUUUACACCAUUCACCUUUUUAUACUUCAGUGCUAGCAGACAGACAUAUGUCUUAGAUGAGACAUAAAGAGUUCAUUCAGUGGCGUAGAUAGCUUUCUCUCCGUCUGCGUGCCCCAAGGGCGGCUAUCUAAAAAGGCAAUAGAUCCCAGAUAGCUCACUGUGUUCAAUUUGCCAAUGAUAGAUUAUAGUGCCAAUUUAAACAGAUAGGGAUCAAUUUGUCUCAAUGAUAACUCUUUAGGCUGACUGCCAGCAUGCUCUUAAUGUAUUUGUAAAUGCUGGUUGUUUGAAUCACGGCUGUUGAAGUAAUCAAAACUGUAGAAUGGAGAGAAGAUAUGAGAAGUGAUAAAUGAUGUGUUGUUUUGGCUGCUAAAGACUGCAUUGAUGGAGCGUACACGAUGAUUACUAGAGGCAGCAGCAUUGCAGCAGCAAUGACCAAGAGGUCAAUGGUUUAACUCCAAGGACUCACUGGGAAAGUCUGGGUAGGGCAAUUGUGUGAUAAGUGCUCUCUAACCCCAGGAACUACUGUUGAAGUACCCUUCGGCAACGCAGCUUAAACCCCAUCUGUCCCGGUGGAGCUGCACAGCAACCAGCCGUAGUUGUGAGGUGUGUCUCUUUGAGUGUGACCUACCCUCCCUUACUUUUUAUUACUUUAUUUUUUAAAGAGGGAGAAUGGGUAGUCCACUCGCCUCGCACCUUUUUUUUUCCAUGUACUCAGACAGUGAAAAAGUUUUGGAGAAGACACAAGAGAGAAAGCUGUCAGCCCUGAGCCAGACACAGUUCACAUGUGGCCCCAAAGGCAGCAGACGGUGUAUUGAAUUACUGUAACUCAAGGUGUAAUGUGGUAGCAGCGUGGGAUAUGUAUGAAUUACACAAACGGAUGUAGAGGAGGCUAACUUCAGCCUCAGCUUUCUAUUACAGCUAUAAAAUGUUCAUUUGCAUGCUUUACUUUUCUUACAUGUCACCUAUAACAGUGUAUUAGUUAAAAAGGCAAACAUACUUUCUAUAGUGAUCAUCAUUGUCUCAUUAUCAUUAGCUCUACCAAUAUUAUCAAACUGCUAUUGCCAUGUGAAAACCUGUAUCUCUGGGUUUUUUGAUUUUCACGUGUUAAUUUUCGGUGGAGAAUGACAUGGUUUGCAGUACGAGGAGAAAACACUUCAAACUCAGCUGGAUCAACUUAAAACCAUAGCGGUGUUUCUUAUGUGCUGUGUAUAAUUGCAAUUUGCAGUUUCACACCUGCCACAUAUAUGACUAAUACAGCUUUAAGACAUCAUAUGAGCUGUGUUUUAACUGUUUUUCUUAACACGGCACCUAAUGUUGUGCAAUUACAUUUCAAGCAGUGAUUUUUCCAGUUUUAUUAAGGUAGUUUACAAUGUUAUUAAAGCAUU